GGUCGGGAACUCAAAGGAGACUGCCAGUGAUAAACUGGAGGAAGGUGGGGAUGACGUCAAGUCAUCAUGGCCCUUACGACCAGGGCUACACACGUGCUACACUGGCGCAUACAAAGAGACGCGACCUCGCGAGAGCAAGCGGACCUCAUAAAGUGCGUCGUAGUCCGGAGUGGAGUCUGCAACUCGACUCCAUGAAGUCGGAAUCGCUAGUAAUCGUGGAUCAGAAUGCCACGGUGAAUACGUUCCCGGGCCUUGUACACACCGCCCGUCACACCAUGGGAGUGGGUUG
rnacentral:rRNA from 1 species